GGAUGUGAUCAUACCAACUCACGUGCACCGGAUCUCAUCAGAAUUCCGAAGUUAAGCGAUUUUGGACAAAAGUAGUACUAGGAUGGAUGACCUCCUGGGAAGUUCUCGUGUUGCAUCCC